rnacentral:rRNA from 1 species
AUUGAACGCUGGCGGCAGGCCUAACACAUGCAAGUCGAGCGAGCGGCGGACGGGUGAGUAAUGUAUGGGGACCUGCCCGAUGGAGGGGGAUAACUACUGGAAACGGUAGCUAAUACCGCAUACCAUCAGAUGUACCCAGAUGGGAUUAGCUAGUAGGUGGGGUAAUGGCUUACCUAGGCGACGAUCCCUAGCUGGGCUGAGAGGAUGAUCAGCCACACUGGAACUGAGAAACGGUCCAGACUCCUACGGGAGGCAGCAGUGGGGAAUAUUGCACAAUGGGCGCAAGCCUGAUGCAGCCAUGCCGCGUGUAUGAAGAAGGCCCUCGGGUUGUAAAGUACUUUCAGCGGGGAGGCGUUACCCACAGAAGAAGCACCGGCUAACUCCGUGCCAGCAGCCGCGGUAAUAC